AUUGAACGCUGGCGGCAGGCCUAACACAUGCAAGUCGAGCGAGAGGCGGACGGGUGAGUAAUGUAUGGGGAUCUGCCUGAUGGAGGGGGAUAACUACUGGAAACGGUAGCUACUACCGCAUACCAUCAGAUGAGCCCAUAUGGGAUUAGCUUGUGGGUGGGGUAACGGCUCACCUAGGCGACGAUCCCUAGCUGGUCUGAGAGGAUGACCAGCCACACUGGGACUGAGACACGGCCCAGACUCCUACGGGAGGCAGCAGUGGGGAAUAUUGCACAAUGGGCGAAAGCCUGAUGGAGCCAUGCCGCGUGUAUGAAGAAGGCCUUCGGGUUGUAAAGCACUUUCAGUCGGGAGGCGUUACCUACAGAAGAAGCACCGGCUAACUCCGUGCCAGCAGCCGCGGUAAUAC
rnacentral:rRNA from 1 species